rnacentral:rRNA from 1 species
ACACUGUACGAGUUUGAUCAUGGCUCAGAACGAACGCUGGCGGCAGGCCUAACACAUGCAAGUCGAGCGCCCCAGCGAUGGGGAGCGGCGGACGGGUGGGUAACGCGUGGGAACGUGCCCCCUUUCUGCGGAAUAGCCUCGGGAAACUGGGGGUAAUACCGUAUACGCCCUUCGGGGGAAAGAUUUAUCGGAGAAGGAUCGGCCCGCGUUGGAUUAGGUAGUUGGUGGGUAAUGGCCUACCAAGCCGACGAUCCAUAGCUGGUUUGAGAGGAUGAUCAGCCACACUGGGACUGAGACACGGCCCAGACUCCUACGGGAGGCAGCAGUGGGGAAUCUUAGACAAUGGGCGCAAGCCUGAUCUAGCCAUGCCGCGUGAGCGAUGAAGGCCUUAGGGUUGUAAAGCUCUUCAGUGGGGAAGAUAAUGACUGUACCCACAGAAGAAGCCCCGGCUAACUCCGUG